rnacentral:rRNA from 1 species
GACGAACGCUGGCGGCGUGCUUAACACAUGCAAGUCGAACGGAAAGGGCGGGAGCUUGCUGGCUCCUCGACUGUCGAACAGGUGAGUAACACGCGAGUAACCUGCCCUUGGCUUUCGGAUAACAUCGGGAAAAUGGAGCUCUUACCCGAUAGGAGCCGCGGCUGCAUGUUGGGGGUUGGAAGAUUUCGGCGGUUGGGGAUGGACUCGCGGCGUAUCAGCUUGUUGGUGGGGUGACGGCUUACCAAGGCUCGGACGGGUAGCCGGCCUGAGAGGGUGACCGGCCACACUGGGACUGAGAUACGGCCCAGACUCCUACGGGAGGCAGCAGUGGGGAAUAUUGCACAAUGGGCGGAAGCCUGAUGCAGCAACGCCGCGUGCGGGAUGACGGCCUUCGGGUUGUAAACCGCUUUUGGCAGGGACGAAGCGAAAGUGACGGUACUUGGUGAAGAAGCACCGGCUAACUACGUG